rnacentral:rRNA from 1 species
AUUGAACGCUGGCGGCAGGCCUAAUACAUGCAAGUCGAGCGGAGCUUCGGACGGGUGAGGAAUGCCUAGGAAUCUGCCUGGUAGUGGGGGACAACGUCCGGGAACGGGCGCUAUUACCGCAUCCUAUAAGAUGAGCCUAGGUGGGAUGAGCUAGGUGGUGGGGUAAAGCCCUACCAAGGCGACGAUCCGUAACUGGUCUGAGAGCAUGAUCGGUCACACUGGAACUGAGAAACGGUCCAGACGCCUACGGGAGGCAGCAGUAGGGAAUAUUGGGCAAUGGGCGAAAGCCUGAUCGAGCAAUGCCGCGUGUGUGAAGAAGGUCUUCGGAUUGUAAAGUACUGUAGUUAGGGAAGCGGUACCUAACGAGUAAGCACCGGCUAACUUCGUGCCAGCCGCCGCGGUAAUAC